AUGGACCACGCGGUACGCUGCGGUUCUGAGCGUGCCGUUCGCAUCCAACUGGAGACUGCUCGCUACGGUUUGCUAGCC
rnacentral:sRNA from 1 species